GGGCGUUAAGUUGCAGGGUAUAGACCCGAAACCCGGUGAUCUAGCCAUGGGCAGGUUGAAGGUUGGGUAACACUAACUGGAGGACCGAACCGACUAAUGUUGAAAAAUUAGCGGAUGACCUGUGGCUGGGGGUGAAAGGCCAAUCAAACCGGGAGAUAGCUGGUUCUCCCCGAAAGCUAUUUAGGUAGCGCCUCGUGAAUUCAUCUCCGGGGGUAGAGCACUGUUUCGGCUAGGGGGCCAUCCCGGCUUACCAACCCGAUGCAAACUGCGAAUACCGGAGAAUGUUAUCACGGGAGACACACGGCGGGUGCUAACGUCCGUCGUGAAGAGGGAAACAACCCAGACCGCCAGCUAAGGUCCCAAAGUCAUGGUUAAGUGGGAAACGAUGUGGGAAGGCCCAGACAGCCAGGAUGUUGGCUUAGAAGCAGCCAUCAUUUAAAGAAAGCGUAAUAGCUCACUGGUCGAGUCGGCCUGCGCGGAAGAUGUAACGGGGCUAAACCAUGCACCGAAGCUGCGGCAGCGAACGUAUCACCCAAGACAACUUUACGGAGUUGACGAUUGACGGAGCGAAGCGACGUCAAAGCGUUCAUUAAAGUCGAGUUGGCUUAGGGAUACGUUCGUUGGGUAGGGGAGCGUUCUGUAAGCCUGUGAAGGUGUGUCGUGAGGCAUGCUGGAGGUAUCAGAAGUGCGAAUGCUGACAUAAGUAACGAUAAAGCGGGUGAAAAGCCCGCUCGCCGGAAGACCAAGGGUUCCUGUCCAACGUUAAUCGGGGCAGGGUGAGUCGACCCCUAAGGCGAGGCCGAAAGGCGUAGUCGAUGGGAAACGGGUUAAUAUUCCCGUACUUGGUGUUACUGCGAAGGGGGGACGGAGAAGGCUAUGUUGGCCGGGCGACGGUUGUCCCGGUUUAAGCGUGUAGGUGUGUGUUCCAGGUAAAUCCGGUUCACUUUAACACUGAGGCGUGACGACGAGGCACUACGGUGCUGAAGCAACAAAUGCCCUGCUUCCAGGAAAAGCCUCUAAGCAUCAGGUAACAUCAAAUCGUACCCCAAACCGACACAGGUGGUCAGGUAGAGAAUACCAAGGCGCUUGAGAGAACUCGGGUGAAGGAACUAGGCAAAAUGGUGCCGUAACUUCGGGAGAAGGCACGCUGACACGUAGGUGAAGUGAUUUACUCAUGGAGCUGAAGUCAGUCGAAGAUACCAGCUGGCUGCAACUGUUUAUUAAAAACACAGCACUGUGCAAACACGAAAGUGGACGUAUACGGUGUGACGCCUGCCCGGUGCCGGAAGGUUAAUUGAUGGGGUCAGCGCAAGCGAAGCUCCUGAUCGAAGCCCCGGUAAACGGCGGCCGUAACUAUAACGGUCCUAAGGUAGCGAAAUUCCUUGUCGGGUAAGUUCCGACCUGCACGAAUGGCGUAAUGAUGGCCAGGCUGUCUCCACCCGAGACUCAGUGAAAUUGAACUCGCUGUGAAGAUGCAGUGUACCCGCGGCAAGACGGAAAGACCCCGUGAACCUUUACUAUAGCUUGACACUGAACAUUGAGCCUUGAUGUGUAGGAUAGGUGGGAGGCUUUGAAG
rnacentral:rRNA from 1 species